rnacentral:rRNA from 1 species
GGAAGAAAGGGAGGCUCUUCGGAGCUUUCGCUGAAGGAGGGGCUUGCGUCUGAUUAGCUUGUUGGCGGGGUAACGGCCCACCAAGGCGACGAUCAGUAGGGGUUCUGAGAGGAAGGUCCCCCACAUUGGAACUGAGACACGGUCCAAACUCCUACGGGAGGCAGCAGUGAGGAAUAUUGGUCAAUGGGCGCAAGCCUGAACCAGCCAAGUAGCGUGAGGGAAGACUGCCCUACGGGUUGUAAACCUCUUUUGUUUGGGAAUAAAGUGCGGGACGUGUCCCGCAUUGCAUGUACCAUUUGAAUAAGGACCGGCUAAUUCCGUG